GCCAGUGAGCUUUCUGGCUCCAACAUCUGUGAAAGAGCCACAGCUCCCAGGGCUUAUCAGCCACUUUCAGUGUGAGCAUGCCUGUCAAACAUCCCAGGCACAGGAGGCGCUAGGCUGAAAGGAGUGACAAGAUGCGGGAGUGGAAGGACCGUGACCCUGGGGACCCCAAAUGGAGCAAAUGGCUUCCUAAAGCCCCAGCUUUUGCAUCUGUAAUGAGCAGUGACAGCUCCCACCUCAUGAGAAUGCCGUGGGGUUAAUGAAGCUGGGUGACCAGCUAUUCCAGUUUGAGUGUCCCAGAAAACUCCUCCAUUGUUGACAAACUGAGAAGCUGAC
rnacentral:lncRNA from 1 species